CCGAGUUUAAAUGGCGCAUAUAUUAUUCAUUUUAUAUUAUAUGUAAAAAAUUUUGCGGGUAACGGCUUAAGUCUUUAUACAAAUGGUGAAAUUCGCCAAAUUCUUCUCGUUUGAUAUUUACGGAUGCGUUCCAGACUUUUUUUGUUUAAUAUUUAGCACAGAGCUGGAUUCAAAAUAUUCUUUAUCUGAGGAGUACAUGUCUUCUCUUUUCACUUACAUAAGCGAAAAUAAAAUGAUCAGAUUUAAAAAGAAAAGUAAACACGAACGAGUAUUAUAGCAAAGAACGCGCAGAAAUCAGCGCUGAAUCUCGCAUUCUCUCUGCGGUACCUAAAAUUGAUCAGCGCUCGGCUCAGCUUUCAAUGUCCAUUCUUCAGGCACCAUAAUUCUCGUAUGAACGCAAUGAGCGAAACCAAAAGCGAAUUUGUUGAUAUUGAGCGACAAAAGAGUUCUCGUGUAAACCCUCGCAGUCUAAGUAACUCAGCUAUUGUGAUGAUGGGUAGCUGAGUGAGUGACGGCGCUGUCAAUUCCUCGCCACACAUACACACGCACACACACAAUUUUUGCCUGACUGAUGUCUACGCUCUAACUACGUAUGUUGAUAUGUAUGUCUGCCUUGCCGCUUGUGUAAUUGGGUAGCGAGCGCGUUUGAAAUGUUCCUAUUACGGCUACUUUUGCUUUUCUCCGCUCAUCGUUUUAUUACACGCGCUGCCAGUAAUCAGCGCUGUUUGUAUGAAAACAAUUUUCCUGGUGAUUUGGGAUGCUUGCCAGCAGUGCGGUGCGCUCGCUGCCUUCUUAUUCACAUACAUACAUCUGAAUGUGUUUGCCAAGUGUUGACACCAGACACUAAAUAUUUUGCGCCCGGCAACGCCAGUCGUUUGGUGACAUACCACAAACGGAAAGCAAUUGAAAUAUACGAAUCCAGCGCUAAAAAACUACAAUAACUGAUCAAAUUCAGGUCGCUCUACCUCUACUCUUUACUGCUCUUCGCUGACACUCCGACUCGCUUUGAUCAAAUCAUUUCAUGUGCGCUCUCAGUCUCAGUAUCUGUCUCUGUCAAUUGACUGUUUCAAAUUUCUUGAAGAAACCUAAGCGGCGGAUUAAUGCCGCACAGUGACGCUAAUCGCCCAUCUGUGUGGCUUUCUUAACAUCGUACACUCCUUACUUCACCCCCGGUACACCUUCACGCGGCGUUCAACACAAUUUUGCUCUCAGCGACUGCCGCUGCUGCCUCUGGCCACACCGCUUUUUUUUUUGUUCGCUUUAUUUUUACUUGCGGUGGUGUGGCUCUCCACUCGGUGGCGCGAUGAACUCUUCUAAGCAUACACCGCAAAAUAGAGUUCACCUUCAUUUUCAUUAUUGCUGGCGAGUAGUAGACAUACAAACAUGUGUGUAUGCAUGCGAUUGAUAAAAUAUGUAUACUCAUACAUAAUUAAAUAAUUAUUUACUGUUCCGCUUAUGAGUUGCUCCGAGUAUGAAAGUCGCUUAUUAAGUUUUAAAUGUAUUUACUGUUGAAAUUUGUGUAAACAACUUUAUUAUAAAUAAAAUAAAAAAUGGUAAAAUAUAGUCAGCUAGCUUGAAGAUGUAGGCUUUUAAGCAAUUUAUCGUUUCGUACGAACCUUGUGUAUAUGUGUGUACGUUUACAAAAAAUUAAAAAAUAUAAUAUACAUAUGUACAUAUGUGUACAUAUUUUUUUGUUCUUUAAGCAAGUGUCAGAAGAAUGCUUAACUUAACUGUUAACAGCUUACAACCGAACGACGGAUACUUUUAUAUUUUUUCUUUUUAAAGAAAUAAGGCUUGCACUGUAGAGUACAUACGAAUAAAGUGCCAGAACUAAGCCGUAAAUUAAGAUACAGAACUCAAAUUUGACACAACGAAUAACAUUAUGAAGGAUAGUGCGAAAAUAGGUGAAAUCGGAUGAAAACCCCGCCAUAUAACGGUUUUGUUAAAAACUACUAAAGGAUGGCACAAGAUGUCACUUUAAGGUGAAAUCACAUAUCUCGGGUCCUGCUCCAAAUUUGCUACAUAGGAUUAUUUAUAUUCCCAUACUACGGUGACCGAGCACCGAGUUAUGAGGGACACCGUAAUUCAACUUUUUUUCGAGACGCUCCAGAGUAAUUGCUACCAUUGUCGUAUAUUUUAAUAUUUCUCCACGAAAAUCGAAUAGAGUAUUUAUUAAAUGUCUACUAUAUAUAAUGUAGCAUUGGUUUGUUAAAAUAGAUUUUAACGGUUUCAUACAAAUGGGUAGUGUUUUACACGAAUCAACCCUACUCCUCCUUUAAUUAAAAUUCUUUUUCAAUUUAAAGAAACGAGUCAGCAAAUUUUCUUAAAAUAUAUGCGCUAUCAAAACUAUAAAUUUGCAUACAUUGGAAGACUCUAUAUUACCUGAUGAAGUGGAUCUCUUUCAUAAAUUAUUUAGGUACCGCUUUAAGCGGUAUUCACACCCGGAAUUGACUUACUAUCACUCGAUUAUAGCAUUCAUAAUGAUUCAAAGGAAUAUGAUAUCAUACUUUUAUCAAAUGGAAAUGGUUUUAAUGAGGCAAGUGUGUAAAGUUUGCUGAAAAGUAAUGAAUAGUAUAUCGUUCUUUAUAAGCAAAACGAGUUUUAAAGCAAUUUUUUUUUAUUUGUGGAAGUAUUCACAGUUAUAAUAGGACUUAUGUUGGAGAAAAGACAGAAAGGUUUAACAGACCAAAAAAUCUAAGAGAACAGAAAAGCAGUAACGAAUGUUUUUCAGUCUCUGAAUCGACUCGAACACUCUUCAUAUAUAUAGUCAGACAAACUACAUAAGUAUGUCAACUUUCAGAUUCGAUUGAGAGCAAUCGGUUGUUGAAGGAGUGUGAUAAGCUGGAAACCUUUCAAAACUACAUUACCUUACAAACAAUUACGGUUCUUAAAGAAAAUGUCAGGAGAGUGGAUUUACUGAUUCUGAAUUAUUAAGGUUAGUAUGAUAACUAACAAUAAUGAGAGACCCCGCUUAGAGAGUAAGGAGAUACCUCCUCAUGUCAUGAUAUAUUCGAAUAAAAUUAAGUCAGCGGUUUCUUUGACGACAAUGUGGUUUGCAGCAAAAAGUGUAUUAAAUCGGUCCAUACCUUCUACUAGACCUAUA